AUGAAACUGGCAUUUCAAGCCUUAGAGGGACUUCUUUCUUGGAGUGUCUCUUUCCAUUAUAUACACCCAAUUCUGGUUUUCUUGGGAAGGUUUCAUACUCCAAAAACAGCUCCCAUACUCCUCCAGAGCUAAAGAGCUGCUAUUUUGAUCAUGAAAGGUACAGUAAUGUCAUGGCAAAGAAGCCAACAACACUUGGAGAAUUGAUAAUGA
rnacentral:misc_RNA from 1 species